rnacentral:rRNA from 1 species
CUGACACAGGUGCUGCAUGGCUGUCGUCAGCUCGUGUCGUGAGAUGUUGGGUUAAGUCCCGUAACGAGCGCAACCCUUGUCCUUAGUUACCAGCACGUUAUGGUGGGCACUCUAAGGAGACUGCCGGUGACAAACCGGAGGAAGGUGGGGAUGACGUCAAGUCAUCAUGGCCCUCAUGUCCAGGGCGACACACGUGCUACAAUGGCCGGCACAACGGGAAGCGACGGCGCGAGUCGUAGCGGAUCCCUCAAAGCCGGUCCCAGUUCGGAUUGCAGUCUGCAACUCGACUGCAUGAAGCCGGAAUCGCUAGUAAUCGCAGAUCAGCCAAGCUGCGGUGAAUACGUUCCCGGGCCUU